rnacentral:lncRNA from 1 species
AAUAUAUCUGGAGUUCAGCCAUUCAGGCACUCAUAGGCCACUAAGGCCAUGGUCCAAGGGGCCAGGUUAAUGCUCAAGCUGGUGGUAGACCUUGGUAUCAUUCACAUGGUGCUGGUUUUUCAGUCAUGCAGAAUGCAAGAGUUGUGAGGUCAUGGAGGCUUCCAGCCAGAUUUCAGAAGAAGGCUUGGGAGGCCAGGCAGUGUGUCCCUGAGAGGGCGAUGUGCAAAGCUAUGAGAGUGAAGGCAAAAGAGCAAUGGAGACUCCCAAGAAGUUGGAGAUGCCCGGAACAUGAGAUAUCUGCCAAAGAAAACUAGGAAGCAAGGAGAGCCAGCCUGAGAGAGGGCAUGGAUUGAACUCAGGACCUUGUGCUUGCCAGGAAGCCACCAGCACCACUGAGCUAAAUCCCCGGCCCGGAGUGAACAGUGGAGAACGAAAUGUACUUCUGCCUUACCAAACCUGUGGCCCUUGAAGGGCAAUGCUUUCUAUCUGGUCCAAAACAUUUUUAAAUAUAUCUCAGCUAAGUUACCCAGGCUGGCUUUGAAUUCCUGGGCUCAAGUGAUUCUCCUGCAUCAACCUCCCACGUAGCCAGGACUACAGGUGUGUGCUACCAUGCUGGGCUCUAAGAGAAUUUCUAAAACAAUGGACAAGAAAACAACAUAUGCCAAGGCAAGUGGCCGUGACACAGCAAGAAAAGCUUGAGAAAAUCAGAUGAGAGAUUUUCUAAAAGUAAGAUUUUACAACAGAGAAAUUAGGUCAUUUUGACCUUUUAAAUUUGUAUAAUGACCACAUUGAGAACACUGAUAUCUGCUCAGUACUUUGCCACCUACGAUCCCAGGCCCUGGAUUUAUAAGAUAAGUAGGAAUCAGAUAUUUCAAACAACUUGACCUUUUGUUGUAACCUUUAUUCCAGCCAAACCAUUGCUGUUCCCCAGCACCAGCUUCUGAACUUUUCCUUGUGGAUUCCCACCAUAUUACUUUCUUGAAAAUUGUCUCAUCUAUCCUUGGAUCUCAUUUCAAAUGCUGCCUAACUCAGGACACCAUUUAUCUCCCCCAAAGGUCUGAGCCUUGUCACUUCUCAUGCCUCCCUUUGGAUCUUUCUGUUUAGUUGACUUUCCUUGCUGUCACUUGCAUGCUUGCAUGUCUUUAGCCUGGGAUGCAAAAGUCCAUGAGGGCCAGGAACGAUGUCUUAUCCAUCUUUUCAUCCCCCUUAGAAAUUCAUGCCCCACACAUUUCACACAUAGUACAUGUCAUCUAAAUAUUAAUGAAUUUGAAUUUAGCUAGUCAAACCAUCUUUUGUCUUAUAGACAUAGAGAGUGAGAGCUAAUCCAUAGUUAGUUGUAAAGAGUUCUGGAUCAUUGAAUGAAAGCUGCUUUUCAGCAGAUCAUAAUUGUGCAAGGCUGUUAAGUGUAGACUUUUGAUGAACAGGUUUUGCUCUGUUGCUGAGUUCAUGUUGCCAUGACAACCUUAACUUUUGGCACUUUCUGAAUUUAGUGUCCUACUUAAUUUCCCGUGUUUGGCUCUGAGAAC